ACACUAAUUUUUGGACACUAUUUUGACACUGCACACGUGACAAAAUAUGAUUGGACGAUUUCAAAUUUUAAAAAAAACUUUGAUUUUUUUUUCCAAAUAUGCCCUUGUCUCACCUUUUUCUAAUUUGAAAUUGUCCAACCACGUUUUGACACGUGUACAAUAUCAAAAUAGUGUCAAAAAUUGGUGUCAAAAUAUCAUUUUCCUUUUUUUUUUUUACAAUGAUUUCCUUGGUAAAAUAAUUUCCUAUUUUUUUCCUCGUUUACUGUUCUUUUCGUUUUUUUUUUCUUUAUACUCUUUCAAAUAUAUUCCCCC
rnacentral:lncRNA from 1 species